CGGGUGAGUAACGCGUGAGGAACCUGCCUCAAAGAGGGGGACAACAGUUGGAAACGACUGCUAAUACCGCGUAAGCCCACGGCUCGGCAUCGAGCAGAGGGAAAAGGAGCAAUCCGCUUUGAGAUGGCCUCGCGUCCGAUUAGCUAGUUGGUGAGGUAAUGGCCCACCAAGGCGACGAUCGGUAGCCGGACUGAGAGGUUGAACGGCCACAUUGGGACUGAGACACGGCCCAG
rnacentral:rRNA from 1 species